rnacentral:rRNA from 1 species
UACGUAGGGUGCAAGCGUUAAUCGGAAUUACUGGGCGUAAAGCGUGCGCAGGCGGUUUUCCAAGACAGAUGUGAAAUCCCCGGGCUUAACCUGGGAACUGCAUUUGUGACUGCAUCGCUGGAGUGCGGCAGAGGGGGAUGGAAUUCCGCGUGUAGCAGUGAAAUGCGUAGAUAUGCGGAGGAACACCGAUGGCGAAGGCAAUCCCCUGGGCCUGCACUGACGCUCAUGCACGAAAGCGUGGGGAGCAAACAGG